rnacentral:rRNA from 1 species
UACGAAGGGGGCUAGCGUUGUUCGGAAUUACUGGGCGUAAAGCGCGUGUAGGCGGCUUUGCAAGUCGGGUGUGAAAGCCCUCGGCUCAACCGAGGAAGUGCGCCCGAAACUGCAGCGCUUGAGUACCGGAGAGGAUGGCGGAAUUCCCCAAGUAGAGGUGAAAUUCGUAGAUAUGGGGGAGGAACACCGGUGGCGAAGGCGGCCAUCUGGACGGAUACUGACGCUGAGACGCGAAAGCGUGGGUAGCAAAACAGG